rnacentral:lncRNA from 1 species
CACCCCUUUAAAAUAAAUUACUAUUCCAAACAACUGUUAAAUAUUGGCUUUAAAAACUGGAGCUUGGAUACUUUCUGACUGGUUAUUAACUAUUUUUACAGAAGGAUGAUACUCUUUCAUUUUCAUUUAUCCAGCACUAAAUGGGACUCCUAAACAGGAAUAGAGUCUACAUUCUGCUAGAGGGAACAGCGUGGAAUACAUUUUAACUUCAGUGUUCGGAUGCAGAAAAGAAAAAUCCAUGUUGCUUCAGUUAAGCUCACUGGUGAAAAAGGAAAUGAAGAAGAAUAAACUCCAACUCAACAUUUGGAUCCAAGAAGUGGCCCUGAGCCCUCUUCCAAGGUUUGCAAAGGCCUUUUCCCUAGCCUGCCUCCCAAGUAUGGACCAUGCCACCAGCAUACUCACCUUUGGACCACAGGGAUCACCAAGGGGCAAAUAUUUGCAGGAGUAUGAAUGGAGCUGGGACAUGGAAUUUGAAUUGUUCACACAUGCAUGUAAGUUUCUACAUGGUAUAGGAUAAAACAAGAGAUGGG